AGCGAACGUUAGCGGCGCGCCUAACACAUGCAAGUCGCACGAGAGGGGGCAACCCCGAAAGUGGCGCACGGGUGCGUAACACGUAGAUAAUCUGCCCUUCGAAGGGGGAUAACGUUCCGAAAGGAGCGCUAAUACCGCAUAACGCCGCGUCCAGUUUGCUGGAUGCGGACACAGGCUGGGACCGUAAGGCCAGUCGUCGAAGGAGGAGUCUGCGGCACAUCAGCUAGUUGGUAAGGUAAUGGCUUACCAAGGCAGAGACGGGUAGCUGGUCUGAGAGGAUGAUCAGCCACACUGGUACUGAAACACGGACCAGACUCCUACGGGAGGCAGCAGUGGGGAAUCUUGGUGAAUGGGCGCAAGCCUGAACCAGCGACGCCGCGUGAGUGAUGAAGGCCUUCGGGUUGUAAAGCUCUGUGGGGAGGGACGAAAGACUGAGGUCUAAUAGGCUUCAGGUUGACGGUACCUCCUUAGCAAGCACCGGCUAACUCUGUGCCAGCAGCCGCAGUAAAAC
rnacentral:rRNA from 1 species